rnacentral:lncRNA from 1 species
GGAAGGUUGGGCCUGAAGCCCGCUUCGCCAUCCAGGUGUAGAAGUAGUUCCGCGCUCCGCGUUUUGCAGACCGCCGCGGUGUCGGAGGCGAGGCGAGGAAGGGAGCUGGAAUAACAAAGGGCUGGAGAGAUCACUCCUUCCACCGGCGGGAGAGAGGAGGCAACAUGAAUUCAUUCCCAAGGCUCUGGUAGUCUGACAGCCGGUGAACUCAGCCUGGAAUUCAUGAGGGCUCCGAGGCUGCAGCUCGGGGCCCCAGGGACUUGAUGUGUCUGUGUGCGGGUGGGGAACCUGUUUGAUUUUCCCAGGGGAAGCCCUGCCUUAUCCUGCCACUGGGCGCUAGGGAAGGUGCUCCUUUGCAGCCUCCCCGUCUUCCGAUCUGAUCCGGCACACAAGGAAUGGACUGUUACUGCCGCUGCUCCCCCACCCACCACAGAUGUGAUACUGUUCGGUGGGACCCAGUGAGAAGCCAGUGCCAUCAUCCUUCCUCGAUCAGGCUGCUUUAUGCCUGGAGAAGUACUCAUACCUGUAGUCUUCUCUCAGAUCUGCUCUGCCUCCAGCCGUCUCCAGAGGAGGAUGCACAUGAAGAUAUAUUACAUAUUCUUCUGUUACUGAUCAACAUCACAGCUGCAGAACUAUUCAAUGAAUGAUUAAAUAUCAGAGAAACUGAACUGGUCAGCAUCAGCAUAUGUAUGGACAGAGUAGCUACCAUGAAUGGAUGGCUUUCUGGUUUCACUAUUCUGGUCAAAAAGGUGACUUCCGAAUGUGAGUCUACACACUGUGUCAUUCAAAGAGGAAUCUGAAAAUGUGCAAAAAAUGUCAUCUGAAUUUAACAGUAUUUUGCAGAAUGUGAAUAAAAUUAUCAAGUGUAUUAAAGAACAUGCUCUCUACUUAUA